rnacentral:rRNA from 1 species
AACGAACGCUGGCGGCAGGCUUAACACAUGCAGGUCGAACGGGUGUAGCAAUACAUCAGUGGCAGACGGGUGAGUAACACGUGGGAACCUUCCUAGGGGUACGGAACAACUCAGGGAAACUUGAGCUAAUACCGUAUACGUCCGUGAGGAGAAAGAUUUAUCGCCAUUAGACGGGCCCGCGUCGGAUUAGGUAGUUGGUGGGGUAACGGCCUACCAAGCCUACGAUCCGUAGCUGAUCUUAGAGGAUGAUCAGCCACACUGGGACUGAGACACGGCCCAGACUCCUACGGGAGGCAGCAGUGGGGAAUCUUGGACAAUGGGCGCAGGCCUGAUCCAGCCAUGCCGCGUGAGUGAAGAAGGCCUUAGGGUUGUAAAGCUCUUUUACCAGGGACGAUAAUGACGGUACCUGGAGAAUAAGCCCCGGCAAACUUCGUGCCAGCCGCCGCCGUAAUAC